rnacentral:rRNA from 1 species
UACGAAGGGGGCUAGCGUUGUUCGGAAUUACUGGGCGUAAAGCGCACGUAGGCGGAUUGUUAAGUUAGGGGUGAAAUCCCAGGGCUCAACCCUGGAACUGCCUUUAAUACUGGCAAUCUCGAGUCCGAGAGAGGUGAGUGGAAUUCCGAGUGUAGAGGUGAAAUUCGUGGAUAUUCGGAGGAACACCAGUGGCGAAGGCGGCUCACUGGCUCGGUACUGACGCUGAGGUGCGAAAGCGUGGGGAGCAAACAGG